CAGUAGCGCGGUAAUGCGUAGGGUGCGAGCGUUAAUCGGAAUUACUGGGCGUAAAGCGUGCGCAGGCGGUUGUGUAAGACAGGUGUGAAAUCCCCGGGCUUAACCUGGGAACUGCGCUUGUGACUGCACAGCUAGAGUAUGGCAGAGGGGGGUGGAAUUCCACGUGUAGCAGUGAAAUGCGUAGAGAUGUGGAGGAACACCGAUGGCGAAGGCAGCCCCCUGGGCCAAUACUGACGCUCAUGCACGAAAGCGUGGGGAGCAAACAGGAUUAGAUACCCGUGUAGUCCCUGUCUCUUAUACA
rnacentral:rRNA from 1 species